rnacentral:rRNA from 1 species
CCUCGGGACGCAGCAGUGAGGAAUAUUGGUCAAUGGGCGAGAGCCUGAACCAGCCAAGUCGCGUGAGGGAAGACGGUCCUAUGGAUUGUAAACCUCUUUUGCCGGGGAGCAAAAAGCGGUACGUGUACCGCAUCGAGAGUACCCGGAGAAAAAGCAUCGGCUAACUCCGUGCCAGCAGCCGCGGUAAUACGUAGGGUGCGAGCGUUAAUCGGAAUUACUGGGCGUAAAGGGUGCGCAGGCGGUUGAGUAAGACAGAUGUGAAAUCCCCGAGCUUAACUCGGGAAUGGCAUAUGUGACUGC